GUGGUGGCCACUUGUGUAUUCUUCACACUAUAAUUACGCUUAUUGCCACCAACCAACCCAAACUUAUUACCCAACACCAACACCAACACCACCACCCGUUCCCUUUCUUCUUUUUCUCCCAACAACCAAACUUGGUAGUGUACUAUACCUUUCACCAUUGUGUUUGCGUUUCUCAAUUUCACUCUCCGUGGUUUGGUUUGGCGUGGUUUGUUAUAUUCCCAAUUUUCAUGGCUUCUUCUCUCUCCACCAAACCAUUCGGAACCGACGCUCUCUCCGCCGUCACUUCUCUCAAUUCCGAUCUCCGUUCCAUCUCCUCCGUCUACCUCCGAGUCUCUUUCCGUCCUCGCCUUCCCAAGAGACUCCAGAUACAGGCGGCAGGGAGUACCUAUGGGAAUCACUUUCGUGUUACAACAUAUGGAGAAUCUCAUGGAGGAGGUGUUGGUUGUGUUAUUGAUGGAUGUCCUCCUCGCAUCCCUCUCUCUGAAGCUGAUAUGCAAGUGGAUCUUGACAGAAGGAGGCCAGGUCAGAGCCGAAUUACAACUCCUAGAAAGGAGACUGAUACAUGUAAAAUAUUUUCAGGAGUCUCUGAAGGACUUACUACUGGAACCCCAAUUCAUGUAUUUGUACCCAAUACUGAUCAAAGAGGACAUGACUAUAGUGAGAUGUCAUUAGCUUAUAGGCCUUCCCAUGCAGAUGCUACCUAUGACAUGAAGUAUGGUGUCAGAUCAGUUCAGGGUGGUGGAAGAUCUUCUGCAAGGGAAACAAUUGGAAGGGUUGCUUCUGGUGCUGUUGCUAAGAAAAUCCUUCAAAACUUUUCUGGAACGGAGAUUCUUGCCUAUGUCUCUCAAGUUCAUAAGGUGGUUCUUCCUGAGGAUCUUAUUGACAAUGAUACUCUGACACUUGAUCAGAUUGAGAGUAACAUUGUCCGAUGUCCAGACCCUGAAUAUGCUGAGAAGAUGAUAUCUGCAAUUGAUGCUGUCCGAGUGAGAGGUGAUUCUGUUGGUGGUGUUGUAACGUGCAUUGUGAGGAACUGUCCACGUGGUCUCGGUUCACCAGUAUUUGACAAACUUGAAGCUGAGCUGGCUAAAGCUGUCAUGUCAUUGCCUGCAACUAAGGGCUUCCAAUUUGGUAGUGGGUUUGCAGGUACGUUUUUGACUGGGAGUGAACACAAUGAUGAGUUCUAUAUAGAUGAACAUGGAAAGACGAGAACAAGAACCAACCGCUCUGGCGGGAUACAGGGUGGAAUUUCCAAUGGGGAAAUCAUUAACAUGAGAAUAGCUUUCAAGCCAACAUCAACAAUUGGUUGUACACUUUCUGAUUGGUGACUUGACUGGUUUGUGGGUCAAUGGGUUUUCCUCAGACACUUCCCCUUUCAGUUCCAUCACUGAAGCUGCUUCAUGCCAAAUGUUCAUCUACUGAGCUGCAUUGCAUUAGCUCUCUUUUCCUCCUUUGCUACCUUAGCCACAUACUUCCAACAAUUUUAAUUACUCUGAUAACAUGACGCCUGGUAUUUUGACUGGCAUUGAGGAACUCCAACAUUAAAUAAGAAACAACUUACAGUGACUCGAGAUAAAAAGGAAACAGAGCUGAUAGCCCGUGGCCGCCAUGAUCCUUGUGUUGUCCCAAGAGCUGUACCAAUGGUAGAGGCCAUGGUAGCUUUGGUUCUUGUGGACCAAUUGAUGGCACAAUUCGCACAGUGUAGUCUGUUUCCCAUAAACUUAGAUUUGCAAGAACCCUUGGUGCCUAUAUUAGAGACAGAAGAAGUGCCUUUCUGAAAGAAGAUGAAUGGGAUGCACGGUGGCCUGUGUUCAAAUCUUCAUUCUGGCUAAAUGUUUAGUUGACAGUUAAUUCACUUUGAUGACAAACUCAAGUUUCCCUCUUGCGAGGAUCCGGCUCCUGGUGUGCAUGUUCACAUUCUCGCUAAUAUGUUUGCGGGUGCAAUCUAUCAUUUUGUAUUAAUGUAAUUUAAACUGUUUUUUUCCCUCCUUUUUCAUUUUUCUUGUGAACAUUGUUUCUAGAACACCUUGCUGCAAAAGCAACGAAAUAGAUGUAUUCUUAUAGUGAAUUGGUAUGAUCUGCAUGUAUUAAGUGUAACAGUUUUGAAAGGUCUUAAAAUUGUUGCUCUGCAUUUCAAUAAAUGAAGCUUUGACAAGUUUAGCUGG